AAGGGCGACUGAAGCGUCAAAAGCUCACCAUGUGAAUCUGCAGUGCCGAGUUGUGAUCUGGAGACUCUUGCAUUUUGGCCAAGUCCCUUGGAACAGGGCAGCGUAGAGGGUGAUACUCCCGUAGGCCUUAUUCUGUCAAGGAGUCGAGUUGUUUGGGAUUGCAGCUCAAAGUGGGUGGUAAAUUCCAUCGAAAGCUAAAUACUGGUGGGAGACCGAUAGCGUACAAGUACCGUGAGGGAAAGAUGCAAAGAACUUUGAAAAGAGAGUUAAAGAGUACCUGAAAUUGCUGAAAAGGAAGCAAAGGAAUCCAGUGUUGUUGAGCCAUUCUUCCUCACUUGCUUGCAAUUGUGGCGCUGUGGCCAGCAUGGUUCUGAUUGAU
rnacentral:rRNA from 1 species